ACCCUGGUGGCACAGUGGUUAAGUGCUAUGGCUGCUAACCAAAGGGUCGCAGUUUGAAUCUGCCAGGGGCU
rnacentral:tRNA from 1 species